GCUCGGUUCUUCUAACGGUUAGGAAGUAUGCCUCUCACGCAUGAAAUAGGGGUUCGAUUCCCCUACCGAGUAC
rnacentral:tRNA from 1 species